UCGUGACCCACAAAAACAGAUGAUGUUGUUGGUCUUAUACUGCCGCGGGGCGAAGUGGGGUUGCCUUUGCCGUUGUCACCCCCGUUCGGCCCAAACCGACCCUCCCAUCCCAUGUGUGACACACAUUGUCGGCUUUGUGUGUGACAAGCGGUGUGUCUAAAUGUGCUUUGCCUGUGGACUCAAUGUAGUUGCAAGCUAUGGAAUGCCAUUGUUGGUUUUGAUUGCUGGAACAACACAAACAAGAGGUGGGGUGGGGGGUUUGCGGGGGUGCUGUGGCUACAGUAACACAGAGAUGUCAGUGUGGUAAGCAGCGUAGUCGUGUGAGCUCACCCGCUGAUUUCGCCAGAGGUAUUCCUGAGAUGGGGUUGAAGCUGAAAAGGUAGGUCAAGACGUGAUGAAGAAUUUUAUGGUUGUCCUGGUUUUGUUU